rnacentral:sRNA from 1 species
AUCACGCGGACGUUAGACAAAUCAUAAUCCCGCCUGAAUUCGGUCAAUCGACCGCCGUGCUGGACCGCAAUGAUCUCCUCACUGCGUUGACCCGGUCCUUUCGGCACCGGAUUCCUCAGCCCCCAGCCCCCCGGGGUCGUCAGGAUCGGGUCUGUUCGCGGUCUAUAGAUCCCCAAGCCUUCCGGUCAGCGCAAGCUGGCCGUUUU